AGAGAGGUGCUCGAGUGGUUGAAGAGGCACGCCUGGAAAGCGUGUAAACGUGAAAACGUUUCGAGGGUUCGAAUCCCUUCUUCUCUG
rnacentral:tRNA from 1 species